UGUAAACAUCCUACACUCUCAGCUGUGGUGUAGCUGAGCUGGGAGGAGGAUGCUUACUCA
rnacentral:pre_miRNA from 1 species